rnacentral:rRNA from 1 species
CUACGGGAGGCAGCAGUCGAGAAUAGUCUACAAUGGGGGAAACCCUGAUAGUGCGACGCCGCGUGAACGAAGAAGCAUUUCGGUGUGUAAAGUUCUUUUCUUUGCGAGCAAUGGUAUAUAGAUUAAUAGUUUAUAUACAGUGAUAUUAGCAUAGGAAUAAGCUCCGGCUAACUCCGUGCCAGGCAGCCGCGGUAACACGGGGGGAGCGAGCGUUGUCCGGAAUUACUAGGCGUAAAGGGCAAGUAGGCGGAGUUAUCAGUCAGGUGUUAAAGGCUACAGCUCAACUGUAGUAUGGCAUUUGAUACUGUAAAUCUAGAGUAAGGUAUGGGAAGACGGAAUUCCUGGUGUAGCGGUGGAAUGCGCAGAUAUCAGGAGGAACAUCGGUGGCGAAGGCGGUCUUCUGGGCCAUUACUGACGCUCAAUUGCGAAGGUGUGGGUAUCGAACAGGAUUAGAUACCCCUGUAGUC